AGAGCGAACGCUGGCGGCAGGCUUAACACAUGCAAGUCGAGCGGGCGUAGCAAUACGUCAGCGGCAGACGGGUGAGUAACGCGUGGGAACGUACCUUUUGGUUCGGAACAACACAGGGAAACUUGUGCUAAUACCGGAUAAGCCCUUACGGGGAAAGAUUUAUCGCCGAAAGAUCGGCCCGCGUCUGAUUAGCUAGUUGGUGAGGUAAUGGCUCACCAAGGCGACGAUCAGUAGCUGGUCUGAGAGGAUGAUCAGCCACAUUGGGACUGAGACACGGCCCAAACUCCUACGGGAGGCAGCAGUGGGGAAUAUUGGACAAUGGGCGCAAGCCUGAUCCAGCCAUGCCGCGUGAGUGAUGAAGGCCCUAGGGUUGUAAAGCUCUUUUGUGCGGGAAGAUAAGUGACGGUACCGCAAGAAUAAGCCCCGGCUAACUUCGUGCCAGCAGCCGC
rnacentral:rRNA from 1 species